rnacentral:lncRNA from 1 species
GUAAGAAAUUCCUUUAUAUAUUAUCUUUAUAUUAUUGUUUAUUGUAAGAUUAUAACUACUACUUAAGCUAUACUUUAAGUUAUGCUAAUGGAACUAAACUGUAAUGUUUACAAGAAAUGCAGAUUGAGAAAAGAUUUGAGGAGGUGAAAAAAGAAAAAUCCAAUCCACAAGCAAAAUUUCAGAAAAGUCUAUAUUCAAAAGAAUUCAGCAGGCUCUGAUGGAUGGAAAACGAGCUCAAUCAGUUUGAAAAGGAUGUUAUAAAGGACAUGUGUUUACUUGCUAUAUCCACAUGAUGUGUGCUUGAUUAGUAAUACCUUUUAGCAAAUUGGAUGUUGAAAAAUUGGUGUAUUGAUACUUUUGUCUAUUUUCUUGAUAGUUCUAGACGCGUAGUUGGUAAUAAUCUUAGUAUUGUUUUAGGAUGUUCUUGUAAUGAACCUUUGAAGGUGGAUCAAUGUAUUUUCGAAAUGGUCAUGUCAAAUUUUUAACAAGCCGUUGCAAUAUAUGCCUAUAAUGUUGCCUUAAU